AUUGAACGCUGGCGGCAGGCCUAACACAUGCAAGUCGAGCGGAUGACGGGAGCUUGCUCCUUGAUUCAGCGGCGGACGGGUGAGUAAUGCCUAGGAAUCUGCCUGGUAGUGGGGGACAACGUUUCGAAAGGAACGCUAAUACCGCAUACGUCCUACGGGAGAAAGCAGGGGACCUUCGGGCCUUGCGCUAUCAGAUGAGCCUAGGUCGGAUUAGCUAGUUGGUGGGGUAAUGGCUCACCAAGGCGACGAUCCGUAACUGGUCUGAGAGGAUGAUCAGUCACACUGGAACUGAGACACGGUCCAGACUCCUACGGGAGGCAGCAGUGGGGAAUAUUGGACAAUGGGCGAAAGCCUGAUCCAGCCAUGCCGCGUGUGUGAAGAAGGUCUUCGGAUUGUAAAGCACUUUAAGUUGGGAGGAAGGGCAGUAAGUUAAUACCUUGCUGUUUGACGUACCGACAGAAUAAGCA
rnacentral:rRNA from 1 species